AACGAACGCUGGCGGCGCGCCUAAUACAUGCAAGUCGAGCGAGAAGACGUAGCAAUACGUUUGUAAAGCGGCGAACGGGUGAGGAAUACAUGGGUAACCUACCCUCGAGUGGGGAAUAACUAACCGAAAGGUUAGCUAAUACCGCGUACGCUCCUUGGACUUCGGUUCAGGGAGGAAAGCGAUACCGUGGGUAUCGCGCUCUUGGAUGGGCUCAUGUCCUAUCAGCUUGUUGGUGAGGUAACGGCUCACCAAGGCUUCGACGGGUAGCUGGUCUGAGAGGACGAUCAGCCACACUGGCACUGCGACACGGGCCAGACUCCUACGGGAGGCAGCAGUAAGGAAUAUUGCGCAAUGGGCGAAAGCCUGACGCAGCGACGCCGCGUGGGGGAUGAAGGUCUUCGGAUUGUAAACCCCUUUCGGGAGGGAAGAUGGAACGAGCAGUCGUUCGGACGGUACCUCCAGAAGCAGCCACGGCUAACUUCGUGCCAGCCGCCGCGGUAACAC
rnacentral:rRNA from 1 species